rnacentral:tRNA from 1 species
UUAAUUGAAGCCAAAAAGAGGCAUAUUACUGUUAAUGAUAUCAUUGAAUUUUAAUUCCAAUUAAA